AUCCACCAACCGAAUGACUCGAACAAAAGGGCUCAUUACCUUUAAUGUAUAAACUACAUGAUUCCAAAAGGAUGGCAUUAAGAUGAUAUCAGUAGCCCUCUUGCCUUUUGCUUCUUUUGCCCAUUUGCUUGUCACCCAUUUCUCAGAGGUAAACAUGUUUCUCAGAUUAUGUUUUUGAUGAUGCACGCUCUGUAAUGUCAAGAAUGAAGUAGCAAAUCGGGUGACACCAUAUCUCACUAAUUCUUUAUUCCCUAUAAAUUCUCUCAUCAUAUUCAAAGCCCCA
rnacentral:lncRNA from 1 species